rnacentral:rRNA from 1 species
CCUACGGGUGGCAGCAGUGGGGAAUAUUGGACAAUGGGCGAAAGCCUGAUCCAGCCAUGCCGCGUGUGUGAAGAAGGCCUUCGGGUUGUAAAGCACUUUCAGUGGGGAAGAAAGCCUUGGGGCUAAUACCCUCGAGGAAGGACAUCACCCACAGAAGAAGCACCGGCUAACUCCGUGCCAGCAGCCGCGGUAAUACGGAGGGUGCGAGCGUUAAUCGGAAUUACUGGGCGUAAAGCGCGCGUAGGCGGUCUGAUAAGCCGGUUGUGAAAGCCCCGGGCUCAACCUGGGAACGGCAUCCGGAACUGGCAGGCUAGAGUGCAGGAGAGGAAGGUAGAAUUCCAGGUGUAGCGGUGAAAUGCGUAGAGAUCGGGAGGAAUACCAGUGGCGAAGGCGGCCUUCUGGACUGACACUGACGCUGAGGUGCGAAAGCGUGGGUAGCAAACAGGAUUAGAUACCCUGGUAGUC